CCUGAUUGAACACCUGGGGAAAGGACCCAGUCAGCCCUGGGAGCACAGGUGAAGGGAAUUCAUCUGUGCAACCAGAAGGGGUGGAGCCUGGCUGCACCUCUCUCAGACCUCAUUUAAAAGCUGACUGCCACUAGCAAAGGCUCUCUUCUUGGAGAUCCAUGCUUGGUGGAGUUUUCUCCUGUGAGCCUAGAGUCUUCUGAUGUGGAGCACUGGUCUCAUGGGGAAGCCAGGACAUCACUCUGGAGGCUGUAGCUUGUGGUCUGUGAGACCCUGAGAUUUUGGUCCUCCUCCUGGUGCCCUUUCUUUCCUAAGGAGCAUAAGCCCAGCAGCUUUGCAGGGGAAAACAAGCAUUGGAAAAACAUCAGCUGGACUCAUCUAGUGUUGCAGUUGAAGAUGUGGACUGGUUGCAAAGACUCCAAAGAGAAGCAUGGAGUAUAAUAAGAGGUCUCAAAUAUGACCGAGGAGGUAAGAAUUGCUAAUGAGGUGGUUCAGCUUUUAAAAGAGAAGACUUCAGAUAACACAGGGAUAAUCCUUAAAUAUGCAGAAAGUAGAAUCAAACUACCUUAAGUAUCUUGAAGUAUGCAGGACAGAAAUAGUCUUUCCUAAAAAGACUAGACAGGAAUAGUCUUUCCAAAAAGCUUAUGUGAUAGAAUGUUUUGAUCUUACUCUACAGGAAGAAAGAUGCAGGUUAAACAAUAGGAAAAAGCUUUCUAACAGGAUAAUAAGAUGUUGGUGUUUCUGUCUUUGGAGGUCUUUAAAAAGAUGUUAGACAAACAUCUUAUGAAUGAUAUAGGAAUAGAUAAUCCUGCCUGGGGCAGUGGUGUAAACCAGAUGACUUGGUGAGCUUUUUCUUUCCCUAUUUUUUUGUGACUCUGUAUUGAGGCAGCCCUCACUUACGCAUGUUUGGAUCAGACCAAACAUGACUCUUUCUCGUAAGCUGUACAUAGUGUCUGUCUUUCCUGCUUCCUCUGCCCUUUCUGUUGCAUACACAUUUAAUAUUGGCUAGUGCAGCUGUUUUUUCCGAUUGGUACUUGUCAUCUGCGCUGUUGUCACUCCACUCAUUUCUCUGAAGAAUCUUUUUUUUUUGCAUCCAGACCAAGGAGCAAAUUAGGUUGUGGAUAGGAAGUCAAGCAAUUUCACUUGUGUGUGAGCCAAAGAACUCCACAAGUGAAAGGUGCCUGUCCUCUGGUGUAACAGCUGAGGGAUUAGGGGCAUUAUCCAACAAACCAGAACUCAGUGUGCUACUUCUUAAUCUAAGGUGCUUAAAUUCACAUUACCAAGAAGUAUACUUUCUAGUCAGGGAGCAGGGAAGGAGUAGACUUGCUUCUCAACUCUUCUGAAACCAGGUUGCACUUUAGAGAGGGCGUGCCUAUAGCAGGAAAGGGAACUGGUACAAGGAGAAAUCUGCUGCCUUGUGAGGGAAGAAUUUCAAGGGAGGAGGAGGGGUACCUGCUUGCAGCUCGACAUUGAAGUACUCUCCAGGGAACGCACAGCUGAACCCUUUCAGAUCACAGACAGCCUGCAGUUUUGGUUUUCCACAACCUAAAGGACUAUGAGAACCAUUAACCUGUUUUCUGCAAACAACAUUUUAAAAGAAAAAAUGAAUCGCCAUGUACGGACCAUAGGCUCUUCAGUGUAGAAAGCUGUUCCGAGCUUGCAGUGAUCUGGGUCUCAAGACUUCCCAGGCUGAGAACUCUAAAUCACAUAGGAUUAUCUCAGGGACAUUUUUCUUUUGCAUUUCCUGCUUCCUAGCUUAGUGCCAUACACAUGCCCCCCUUUACUUGUUUUGUUGGCUGGCUGCCAGGGGUUUAAUUGCAGCUCCCUCUCUGGAUUGACCGGGUAGGUGAACUUUGGGGAGUGCCUUAAGACCAUGUAGGUAGCAAUUACGAUUUGCAAGAUCUACUGUGCUGAAGUCCCUGUCAGUUUGCUCCCAAAUCAUCACAUGCAGGGCUCUUUGCAAUUCUAUCAGGCUAGUUUGCUUUUCCCCUAAGCUUUCCGGGUCUCUCUGUGCUGUAAAUUCUUCCUUUUCCUCUUCUAUCAUGCUGUACUCCUUGCUUUCAACAGCUUCCCACUUCCUUAUUAGCUAUUAUUCCAGCUUCUUAAGCCCUCUUUUUCCUGUUAGUGACUGUUUUAUAUAUAUAUUCCCUGUGGAAUGUGCUGGGAACACACAUUUUUCAAACUGAGAUAAAUUUAUCAACACCCUUACAGCGUUUACGCACCCUGUGUCUUACCCACACACCCCACAUGUGGAGGACAAUGCCUCUGUUGCUCUUCCAGGGUUUGGGACAAGGCAGGCCUACAAACCCUUGUGAGUGGGUUCCCUCAGGCCUGAGAUGUGUGCUUGCUAUUUGCCUGCUUGGUUUUCCCUUGUGCCUUGGCAUGGUGUCAGCAGCCCAGGCAGCUCUUGGGAAGCUGUGUAGGUGUGUUGGUUUCUGUGAUUGUCAGGCUCUGUUUGAAUGCAGUCGGGCAAACUGAUACAACUACCUGACCACAGCUGGUCUCCCCAGACAUAUGAGUUGGCCUAUGAGCCUGACCUGCUGCUCAUCAAUUAUGAGUGAAAAUCCCACUAGCUGUUUUGGGCUAUUGGGUGGUGCUUUGAACAGUAACUACAAAGGACUUCCUGAAUCCUACUUCCUGGUCUUUCUCCAGCUUGUCCUACACCAUUAGUACAGGAUCCCUUAGCACUUCUGUCCUACAUCAGCCUCCUGCCCUUCCUUCAGCACUAGCCUAGCCUAACCUUAACACAGUCAGAUCCUGUACAGGCACCCAACUACCGAUGGUAUCAUUAAGCUCUCCUGAUCUUCACAACAGAAUCCAUCAUUCUGAAGAGUGAAUUUGCACCAAAAUAUAUUCUGGAAAAUGUGCUGCUUCUCUGCCAGCAAUGUAGAGGCAGAGCCCACUGAGAGCUGUGACUGUCUUCAUCCUUGAAGCACUCAGUACUGACAUCAGUGGCAUGACCUAAGAUAAAGUUGGCAUGAAAAAUGUUUGUCUCUUUAAAUUCUUUGGGUUUUUCAUUACAGCUGCAGCAUGUAGUAUUAGCACAGCCCCUUCUGCCUCUCCUGGAGAGGGAGUGGGGCAUCUGCCAGUACCUCUAAAGAACUGCCAUGUCAGCUGCCUGUGAGGCCUAUGGAGCCCAAUUGAAGGAUUGCUGGGCUGUGUGCAAGCUCUUCAGUGCUCCCUAUGAAGAUCUCCUGGUGUUAAGACUGGAAAAGUGACUGCAGUAUCUCCACAAGAUAAUGCAAGCCUUGAAGCCAAGGUCAGUCUCGUCCUGGAGCAUUACUGGAAAGCUGCACUUAAAAGAUAGGUCUUGGAGAUGCAGGUCUCAUUCCUUUAGCCUCAGUUCUCAUGAAUGAAAUGUCUAUUCAACCUACCACUAAAAAUUUGAUAUUUUGCAGGAUGAGGAUUAAAAAAAAAAAAACAACAACUUUAAGUCUCUUUCCAUUUUUUUUUUAUUUAAAUUCAUUCAAAACAGCAUUUUCAAAAUGUUCUGAGUUUUCAGGGCAAAAUGUUCUGUUUUCCCUAAGAAAAUCAUCAUAUUUAUGAAGGAUCUCACUCACUCAUAACUUGCUAUUAAAAUCCUUCUUUUGAAUGCUUUUCCCUCUAUACCACUGGACAUGCAAACUAGAUGAGGUCAAACUUUUAAGUUUGCUUCGAUUCUGGUAUCUGGACUUUUGUGGAUGUUUGCCUGAAUCAAGCUGUAAGUAAUUCCUGAAAAGCAUCUGACUUUGUGAAGCAUAAUGUGCCUUCAUCUGCUUCUUGACCCACAGUCUGCCAGAAUAUAGCUUCUCUCUCAGUUUUCGUUGGAUGUCUUCCAGCCUUGCUGUAUUUUCCAUUUCACCUCCUUUAUGAAGUGUAACUAAGUACCUCUUGAGGACUACUCUAACAUGGUUGGUUUGUUUGAGUUGAUAAUUUCUGGAGUUAUACAGCUGGGCCCAUGUUUUUAAGUUUCCCAUUACUUUUUUUUUUUUGCCUUGGAAUGGUUCAAGGAAAUGCACACAAACUCAAAUCUGCAUGGAAGGCUUAACGAGAGAUGUUGACCUGUGUGUUUCUAGCCUGUUUCUACAAGAUUUGAAUUCUGUAUGGAACUUCCCUUACAUAUUCAAAGAUGAAAAUAAUGAACAGCUACUUUUUCAGCUAGAAAACAAUGCAUCUGAGCAGUUGUAGAACAUUGCAUUGACAAACUUUCCUCUUUUUGCUUGCCACAUUCUCUUUUUAUGAUGGAAUGAUCUUGAUCCCAAAAGUUAGCCCCUUCUGGCUUUUCAAGGUAUGUUACAAAUCAUCCUUCGAUGAUUUAAUGCAGCCCUUAUGAUUUUUGCUAACUCCACAAAAUGGACGUGGUUUGGUCCCUAAAACCAAAUGUCCAUAAAUUUAUCCGGGUUAAAGAGCAAGGCAGGCUACAAGGAGAAGAGAAAACCCAAGAGUACAGGCAGGUGACUGUGGGAAGUAGGGCUCUGCUGCCUCAAAGUGGGCUAGGUGCUUCAGGCAUGUCUAGCUUUGGUACUGGGCUCUUGUGGUUGCCUGACUUUACUCACAUGCUGAUGUCAGUAGAAUUAUAGGAGAUGUUAAAUGGGAUGAGUGUUUGCUGUAUUGCAGCUUUGGUCUAUACCCACUGCUGGGGAGCACAUGAAUAAUAUGGCUGUGGGCAGCUGGAGUCACUGCUCUGAGUCAUGCCACUUGGUAGACUUGAGUUAGCAUCUUACUAGAAGACACUUUAGCUGAAAAUAAAGUCAAGCACAGGAAUCUAGUGUCUCAUCUCUUCCAUGUGCUAGGACCACCUGCCUGUAACUAAACCUGUCUGUUCUACACAGCUGCAGUUUCUAAUCACAUUUCCCUGGGGCACCUGGUGCUAAUGCCCUGGUGCACAGCUGCCUCCUGGCUUCAGCAAGAUCUCAGCACUGCUACCAGGGAGCUUGGAGCCUUCUGUCAUCAGUGAAUAAGUCCAGUUUCCUUAUUGGCAUUGAGGGUGGGAGUUUUAAGUAAUUGCUCAAUGUAUUCUUAAUUGAUCAAGUUCGUGGUAUACUAUAAAAAUUUCCUGACUUGUUAUGGUUUUCAGCCUGCAAAUGAUUCUUAGAGAGCUUGCCGGUUUCUGUUAGAGUUUCUGGAGAAAGAUCCUGUCUAUUUAAAGUCAGCAUUAGGUACUUGUUGGCUUCAGUAGUGAAUCAAGAAAACUCCAUGUGAAGUGUGGAGAGGUUAUCUGUAUGACCUGGGAACAUGCACUGGGAGUAGAAAGCAGUAAAUGCUUAUGUGACCUUUAUUACAAAAGCAAAUUCUUAUAUACUCUUUUCCUUUUUCUGAGUUGUUGCAGAUUGUGGGCAUGCGCUGAUAUAAAAUGUUGUUGGUGAUGUCAUUCUGUGAUUGCUGAGAGUAUAACUAGCAAGGCUGGUGGUAAGGAAGCUGAGGAACAAGUGCUACAGACUGGCUAAUAUUCCACCUUUGAGGUGAAGUUUUGGGUGUAACAAAAUGUGAGAAACCUGGCUAAAGGGUCUGUGAUAUCUGUAGUGAUGAUCUCCCUUUUGCACUACUUUUUUUUUUUUUUUUAACUGGGGCGCAUAGCACCCUAGAAUGCAACCUCCAAGUAGCAAGUUUCCAGGUGAUCUCUUCUGCAAAAGCAGAACUUUGAAUCUUGAGUACAAAUAGCAUCAAAAUGAGUAUAGUCAAUAAGAACUUCAGAAGAUAUUUCCUCAUUAUGGUUUCAUGCAGCGUCUGAUGCAGAGACUCAGAUGUGAACAAUCCAAGUUGUUUAUUACAAGUUCUCACAUUACUUAUAUACCUUCACAAGUUUUCUUUUUCUAGCUUUCCCAUCCAACCCUACAACUUUCCCAUCCACCUUUACAUGUCAACAAAGCAUUCUACAAACACUCUUCAACUGUUCAUGCCAGCACUUAUUCAAUCAGAGCCAUGAGCCACUCUUUCUUCUUCUAGAGAUGUCCUUGUUUCUCAUGCUGUUUAUCUUGCUACACAGCUGCUGCUCUGAACAGUUUUUCUUGUAUUCCCACAGUUUCAUAAUGGCCUAAAGCCAAAAAAAGACCCGUAGCUUUGCUUAUAGCAGUCUGGAAAGGAUGCAACCACUGGAGGGACCCACUGAGGUGUGAGCCCUGAGAUGGUUUGUAAUGUAUUUAUCAGACUCUCCUUUCCUUCCUUAACCUCUGAGCUUCGAAAGCACAGACUGCAAGUCCUGCUGAGACAUAGCAGCCUUGCUUGAUAACAGAAGAGAGCACCAGGGAUGUUAAAAACCACUCUCUCUAUUGUCACCACCUUGUUUUCCAAAGGUGUAUGAUGAUGGUCAAGGGGCAGGUGUUGAAAACAGCAUAAGGAAUUUUUCUAAGGAGAAGCUAAGCAUGAGAAUAAGGGGGAUGUGUCUGAAGAUCAGUUUUGCUUGGCAUAUGUAACACUGUGUUCUUAGGAUGGAAGUUGGAAAUGAUUUUCUGGCUAUUUAAAUAUGUGAGGAAAUACAAUGUUAUUUUCUGACCUAUGCUUUAGGUAGAAAGUGUUGUGGGUUUUGUUUUUGUGGGCAAAUUCAGACUUUAUUUUGUGUCAGCAAAUACAGUGUUAAAGUAAAUAACAUUGCUUUUACGUUAAGCUAGAAAAAAUAUUUACAUUUUUCCCUAUUUUUUUUCCACCCAGCCUUGCUCUCCCCUUCGUAUUUGUGGGUAUGGUCAUCUUCCAUUUCUGCAUAUCAGUUCUGCCCCACUGCACUGGGGCAGUGGACUUCCAGAAAUUGGCUUGGAAUCAUGAGUGUCUGUCUGCAACUGCAUGCAGUUGAAAUUCAACGUUUACUUGUUUGGGAGAUGCUGCUUUCUGAUUUUAUAAGCUUUUAUAAGCUUUCCAUCUUCCAGUAGACUGCUUGCCCUAUGUCAGGAAUGAAAGCAUGAAGACUGCAUGCUAGUGUUUAGUCUCCUCCAUGCAUAGGAGUAAGAGUCCAAAUAUCUUGUACCUUAUCUGUUGUAUUUGUCCCUCACUUGUCACCAUGUCAAUUGUCAGCACUGCUGGUCUGGCUUGUGUUUGGUGAACUCUUGACCUUUCACUUAUUUGACCUAUCAGCAAAUAUGAGGCUUUUGUAGAGUUUCAAGUAUUUGGGAACUGAAACAGAAGAAACAUUUAGCUACUGCAUGCAAUGUGUAGAAAUUACUUUCGUUUUUCUUCUUAAGCAAAAGGUUUUUUAAUGCUAUACAAAAUUGAAUACAGGUGUAUAUGGAAGCUCUAGCUCUUGGACAGGCAACCCUGAGAAGCUUGGAAUAAGGAUUUCAUGGGAUUAGGUUGGUUAAAUUGUGUUCUCUUGAUGUAAGCAGUGAGUUUACAUCUGGGUAUGAAUUGAUAGUUCCCUUGAUUUAGAGGUGAACAUGUGUUAUUGCCUUUUGGGUGCAGCAGGCCAAAUCUGCAGCUCUGAGGUACUGUGUUCUCCUCCAGGUCAGAUUGAACUCUCUGUUUACCAACCACUGGUUCAUCACUUAUUAACCAGUACAUCUUAGAUGAAGAUUUUCAACUUUUUGUUCUGGGUUGCUCAGCCAAAUUCUUGUUUGGCCCAGUUCCUUCAUGUAAGUGGAUUGUGUUCCCUUCAGCAUGCCAGCUUCUAGAACUGUUUUUGCAAAGAAAUACUUUAAGGUUAUUUCUAACUGUUUUCAGGUCUACAACAUUCAUCUUAGUUUGGUUAUUGUUGGUAUAUACUGUUGUCAUUCAGGUCUAUGAAACAUAAUUUAAAUGUUUAUAUGCAAUACUAUAUACAGUAAUGUGCAUUUAGUAGACAGGGAGAGGGAAUAAACUUGCUAUACUCUUAUUGGGGAUAGACAAAAUGCAAGAAUUCAAGGUUAAAAUGUACUGGGCAACUGCUAGAGUAACUUAUUUCACCUACGUACCCACUGUAUGCAUUUAUGAACCUAAAUAAGUAUUAUUAAGCGGUAGUCAGUCCCUUAAUUAUUUCUCUUUUAAUCAGCGCCAGCAAGCGUGUUUAUUAUUCAUGUGUCCAGGUCUCCCUGUUAUCAUGUCAAACCCUUGUGAAAUAUUGAUAAACUAGCAAAAUGUAUCUGAUUUUUGGAGAUCUCCCAUUUCUCAGCGACGCUGGGAGGUGACUCCUUCCUUUCUGAGUACCACAUAACCAAAUGUGCUAAAUAUUUUUCUGUUCCUUGGAAUUCUGCUUUUUUAUUUGGAAAUAUGAUGGCUUCUGGUCAGCUAAACAUAAGUCUUAAUAAUAUGUAAUUGAACUCAGUUACACUUGUUGCAUCCAGGUCCAUUUAAUUUUUCAGGAGAUAAGAUAUGUAGGUAUAGCAAUAAUGUGUAUGUGUAGUGUAUCUAUAUAUGGAUGUGUAGAUGACUCUCUAUAUACAUACACAUAAUUUAACUUGAUAGAGGAGUUCUCAUAAGAAGUAAUUAAUAUGUGAAAGUUACAAUAUAUAAUUACUACCGCCCAGGUAAGAUGUAAUACAUGUUGCUGAAAUUUACUGGUCAAGUCAUUUUGUGCUGAGGUAACCUCCCAGGUACAGUUUUGUGCUGUGGUGACAAGCAAGUAUCAUGUAUGUAAUGAAUGCCUGCACAGAACUUGUCUGUGCCUGUACUGCUGGCUCCUCUCUCCCUGAUGAUGAAGUUGCCUAAAAGACAGGAGGGAUUGUGGAUGGUUAGCAUGUGUACAAUUCACAGUCAACCUGUGGGUUUAUCACAGGUGGGGAAUGGGAUGCACAGGAAGGAUGAAGCAUAAGCUCAGCUCUCUUUGUGCAAGCUCCUGUGCUUUGUGCCUUCCAGUUGGGCCCAGUGUUUUGCAAGCUGCAGCCCUUAAUCCUUACAGAGACUGGAGCUGAGCUAAUGCCACAUUUAUGUCAUACAUUGCUGAGCCUUCUCACCUGCACCCAGAACCUGGAGAUAAUACAGAUUGUUUUUAGAGGCCCUCCUCUACAUUUUAAUGUGUUAUUCUGCAGUGAGGAGGAAAAGGUUUGUGCUCAAGUCCAAGUACAGUUUUCUAAAUUUUUCAGCAGUUGAAAGAAUGACUGAUUAUAGCUUGUGAGCCCAUUUAAGCACUGACUAACUUAAAAAUAAAAAAUAAAAAAAUGCAAUAGGCAAUAUGCUAAGCAGAGAAAUGUCUUCUAAAAAAAAAUCUCACCUGUAGGGAUAAUAAACACUUCCACGAAGGUGAAUGUUGAUCCAAGGGGCUGUCACUUGAUGCUAGCACAAUAUGCCGGUGAUCUGGUGCUAACGUGCCAGUUCCAUAUCUCAGACUGAUGUGCAAGCAUCUUCUCUCUCUGCAUGCUCUGGGUGAAUGCCGCUGGGUAUGUUUAUAGCUGAUUCCUCCUAGCCCCAUCUCCUACACUGCACACACCUUCACUCUGGAAACUGGAAGCCUUUCCAAAUCUUGGCAUGCAGAGGUGCAGCCAAACUGAUGCACAGCUGCCAGUGAGUGCUGACCGAUGGGAGUGGCCUUGAUGCUGAUGACCUGUUGUCCAUGCAAUACCUUGUUUUACGGUUUCUUAUUCAUCUUAAUUUUCAUGGGUUGGUGUCACAGGGGUGCUGAUAAGGCAGCAUAAACCUUCCUGCAGCACCUCUGCUGCUGGCCUGCUGCUCUGAGGAAGUUGUGCAAGGGAAAUGAACGCCCUCCAGUGGUGCAAAAUAGGGGAAUAGAUCCGUUCUGUUUGCUGUAACUAUUGCAGAAGUGGUGCGUACAGAGCUCGUGCCGUAGAUGUUAGUAUUUAAAAGGGGAUUAUAAACAGGAGGGGAGUCAACUUUUUGCAAGGAUAGGCAGUGAUAGGACGAGGGGGAAUGGUUUUAAGCUCAAGGAGGUAAGGUUUGGAUUGGAUUUCAGGGGGAAGUUCUUUACAGAGAGAGCAGUGAGGUGCUGGAGCAGGCUGCCCAGAGAGGUUGUAGAUGCCCCGUCCCUGGAGGUGCUCAAGAUCAGUUUGGAAGGGCCCUGGGAAACCUGGUCUAGUGCCAGAUCUGGAGGUUGGUGGCCCUACCUGUGGCAGGGGGUUGGACCUCAACGAGCCCUGGGGUUCCUUCCAACUCAAGUCAUUCUAUGAUUGUGUGUGCCCACUGACAGUGUGAUGUUUGUGGGUAUCCUCACCCCUGUUCUUGGGGCACCGUGGAGGUUUCCCUGUAAAUGGUUCCCACCUAUUGCCCUAAUCCAAGUGGCUCUGCUUGUUUUUUCUUUUUGAAUUAUGCAUCUCAUGCACGUCAGUGCCCAGAAUACACAGCUCUUGGAAGCAAGGUAAUGAUGCUCACUUGCUGGUGUGCACUCUUGAGGUGUGGCUUUCUGCUAUGUGUGCAGUCUGCAUGGAUUCAAGUCUACUUCUCCUUUUCCUGAGAGAUGCCUUAUUUUCUGCACCAGGAGUACUAGAAUAUCAACAUACCUCCAUAGCUGUCCAAUGAAAUUUUGAGAUGCCUGACAUUCCAAGUGCCCCGAACUGACUGACACACUCUUCUGGGAAUUGUCUGAUGUAGUCUUGGGCUAAUAGGUAUGUCUGUAUGCUUUUUUUUUUCAGGUUUUAGCAUUUAUUUCACUCCCUAAACACUAGUGAUGAUGUCUGUCUAGGAAUUUUGUGAGUUUUUAGAAGUUCACUUGACAAAAUUUUCCUGCAAAUCCAUCCAGCUGUGUUAACUUUUUUUUUGUUUAAAUGUAAAUAGGCAUUAGAUCUCCAGAGCAUCAUGCUCCUACACGCCAAAUUUAGGUAUGUGGAUGUGACUGUUCAACCCCAUAGUUUGUUAGUGUUUUCUUGCAUGUUGUAGAUUUUUUGGGGGGCCACUUGGUGUUUCAUCUGCUCCCAGCACAGGGCAAUAGCCUGAAAGUGAAGAACUGGUAUCAAGGACUGAAUCCUGCCUGUUGGAUUUCCAAUCUGAGUUGCCCCAGAGCUUAAAUGCUGUGAAAGAUGCUGUAAGCAUCUUUAAAAACAGAACUAAGCACUACAUUAUUUUUCUACAAUGUGGAGCACCACCCUUACAAACAUUGUGGCAGUACUCACUUGGAAAGAUCUGACACUGGUGUGCACGUUCUCUCCAGUUGCCCAUUUUGCUGUGCUCCUCUGGCCCUGUACUCCGCUGCUCUGCUGUAGGAAGAGGGUGGUCUUGACCAACCUUUUCAGUUGUUUUUGAUAAUAUCACUGCAGUGCUUGCAAAGAGUCUUCCUUCAAAACAGAAGAAUGAUAGCCUGGCUCUAAAAUACUAUUUUUGGAUGAUACAGAGAGGCCUUUUUGGAAAGCAGACACCAAGCUACGUAUACAAUGUGGCUACCAGUACAGAUUGGAGAAGUAAUUUGUACUUUAAAUGACCCUUGAUGUUGACUGUGGAAAUACUGUUUUUCCAGAAAGAUUUUCUAGGUUGGUCAUAGUUUGGUGAUGGCCCAGGAAAAGUGAGAUCAGAAACUGGAACAGACACAUGGGUCUACUGUAAGCCAUGUCUGCUUUGCUGCAUGAGCUUAAUACAAAUUUUGUAGGAUUUCUCACACUGCCUUGGCAGCCUCUGUAUAAAAUCCACAUAGGAGUUCAGUGUUUAAAUGUGCAUAGUUCAAGGGGAUUGCACUCAAAGUCUGUAGGAAGGAGACUAACAGUGUUCGUAUUGUUUACAGCACUCUGUGCUGACGUCUUGUUUGCUUCCUGAUUUUGGCAGGUCACUGAUUUCACACUUCAAAUACUUCACUCUGUUCAACAAGGAAAUAAAAGAAAGACUACUUUAAACUUCAUUUUUGGAAAUGUAGUUAUCUAUUGGAUUAAAUGAAAAAAUGUUGAAAAAUCAUAUUUUUCUGUUGUUUUCUUCAAGGCUAGUAUUGUGAAUGCAUGUAACACAUGCAUACAAAUAUGUAUAUGAAUGGACAAUAUAUUGUUAGCUAUUCAACAGCAGAAGUGGUUCUCAGUUAAAGAAAAACAUUUUUCUGCUUUCUUCAGAUUGAUUCCCGAAGGCAGUCUAUGCCUUGAUCCAAAUGAUGUUUGCCUGUCAUUGAAGGCUAUCACAUUAGAGGCUAUAAGCAAAACUGAAUGGGAUGCUCUGACAGAGCUGAUGUCACGUUUAUAGGUUGCAGUCAAGUGUUCUCAGUUUUUGGGUGUGAGUUGGAACAGCGUGUUCAUUCUGCACAACUCAAACACUGCAAAUGUCCAAAAAGUAAUUCCUGUUGAGUUUUCUAUUGAAAACACGUCCUCAAACUUCUUCAGGCAAUACUGCUGCAUGUAUGGACAGGGUGCUGGAGUGAGGGGAAAAUGUGAGCCUGUGUUGGCACAGGUCUGCUGAGAGGCAAAGUGCACGCUGCUGAGAGCUUCUGGUUAGCAGGAAAAGUGGCACUGGGCACCUCUGUGCAUUUGCCCAAGUGAAUGUAUUCAAACUGCAGGUAUGAGGCCUCCUAGGAGGACCUGAUGGAAUUUUUGCCCUAUUUGGUCCCAAUAACCCUGCUCUUGCCUUGGGUAGAGGUGUGACAUGAAGAGUUCAGGCAGUGAUGUCUCUGAGGUGGCUCUGUUUUCCUGGGGAGUAUGGGUACUGCAGCUGCUGUUCUUCCUUCCAGCCUGAGAAGAACCAAGGGGUGACAGGAGAAGUGUUCCCAUUUGGCUUUGUUUAAAUGGCUGCCUUAUGUAGUUGUUACAGUCAGAGAAGGACCUUUUGGCCAUUAUGUGGUUCUUCCUUUUCCUCUGGAAGGGCAGGUAGCCACUGCUUGAACAGCACAUGUAGUUGCUGCAGCUGCACUUGUGUUCCCUGCAGAGGUGGUUAGUGAAGUCAGUGAAGUCUAAUGGAGUCAUAGAAUCGCUUAGGUUGGAAAAGACCCACAGGAUCAUCCAGUCCAACCAUUCACCCAUCACCAAUGGUUCUCGCUAAACCAUGUCCCUCAACACAACAUCCAAACGCUCUUUGAACACCACCAGGGUCAGUGACUCCACCACCUCUCUGGGCAGCCUAUUCCAGUGCCUGACCACCCUUUCAGAGAAGUAGUAUUUCCUAACAUCCAGCCUGAAUCUUCCCUGGCACAGCUUGAAGCCAUUAACAAGUCCUGACAAGCCCUAUCUGUGCAUCUUGCUAGCUUUGAGACCGUGCUGGUAUACCCUGAUGCAAAAGGUUGUGUUGACCCAGAAAGGAACUGGAAUAUAUUCAAUCUCCUCCACACUCAGCUUACUGAUGCUUUCGAAUUAAUAGGGCAGCUGCUACAAACCUGAGUUGUGAGCCCAGGAUCCUUCAUUCUAAGUUGAAUGUCCGUUCUUAACACAUUGAUGGCCAUCUCUUGCACUGUAAUGUGUUUUAUGACUUUUUUACCUUGCCUUUUCCUGCAGUGUUACAGCUACAGUUUUCCUACAGUGUUACAGUUGACUUGGGUCAACUUCCUCAAACAAGAGUAUGCAGGGGAGGUCAGGUGGUGAGAGGAGGCCUUGCUUUUUCUGGUCUCUCUCAUUCUUAGUUCUUUUCUUAUUUUUAUUUCCUUUCUUAUUCUGAAAUGUUCCCUGUGACAGAAGGGAAUCAAUGAGGUCAUGGCCCUUCUAUGUUCAUCACCCAUUUCUGAGAGUGCUUUCUCCUCUCCAGGAGGAGCUGUGAGGAAUGUGUUUAUGAGCAGAGAUGUUUGAAUGGCAACAGAAUGUCUGAGGUCAUCCUUUCUUCUCUCCUAAACAAGAGCCUAAAAAUAGUGUCUAAAACUGCUCGCCAAACAGCUUGGAAUACAGCACCUUUGGCCAUGUAAAAGAUGACUGGAGCUCUGCCUUUGUUCAAAAUCCUUUCAGAUUUAUAGGCUGUGUGGACUAAAUGGAAAUACUUGAAGGAAAGACAUGCUUUCAGCGAUUGCUGAUUCUUCACCUUACUCUGGAAAAAUAAACCCAUGGAGAAUAUAAAUAUAUUUACUCAGAUGAGAUGUUUGAUCUGAUAGGGAAUGUCAGUUACAGAGCCAGACUUGCCCUACAUGCUGUCUCAUCUCCAGAUCUGGCUGAAGAUGAGAUCCGUUAGCCAACCUGCGACCCUGGCUGCAGAUUUUUUACAAAGGAGGUACUGGAGAAGCUUGUGACAGUGUUUACUUAAUGCUUAAUGUGCACUAAGGUCAUUUCUCAGGGUGGGUCUGUAUUUGGAAAUCUCGCAUCGGCCACUGUUUGCAUGCAGUGGGUCACCAGCAUCUUCUUUUGGGUGCCCAUCAUGGGCGUAUUGCAUGGCUGAGGGCAGAAGAAGAUCAAGAUGAGUGCCUGGAGCGGGAAGUGAGUGGUUCAGUGAGUUCCAGGCAUAGGUGCUCCAGGAAAUCAAGGACUGAAAAAGUUGCGUCAAGGUUCAGGGCAUGUGCCACCACCCACGGACCCAAACCCUCUGUACUUCAUGCUCAAGAAUUAUCUUAAAGCCCAUAUUUCUACCAGUACUCAGACUGAGAGGUGUGUCAAAUGGGAAAUGUAGAAAAAAUGGCUAUUUAGAUCUUGGCACCCAACCCAAACAGUGCAUAAUAUCAGUGGGAGUCUUUGCUCCAGUCUUGGCUCCAGUGGCUUUGAGAUUGGCCCAAUGCAGAGGAUGUUCAAGGAGCACUAGUUCUUCUUUUUACUUACAUGGUUCUUGCUCAUGGCCUGUGCAGUAGAUGCUGCAGGUUUGUCCUAAGAUGGGUUUCCCUGGGGGCAAGGGAUGUUGGUGCUAAUUUGCUUAAAAACUUGUGAUGAAUUUGAUCUGUGUCCUUUCCUAACUUCGGCCUUUGCUGAUAGUUUCUAUUCUCUUCUGUGACCACAGCAUGCAACAAUAAUGAUACGAGAAGGAAUAGAAAAUGUCAGGGCAGAUCACUGAUCUGAGCAUGUUAAUAUGAAGUGAAAAAAUUCCGGGCAAUUUUCAGUUUCUUGACAAAGCAUUGUGAUAAGUCAUCCUUUAAGUGCUUUUCCAGAAGAUGUGGCUGUAAAAUGCGCAAGGCAUUGUGGAGCAGGACUCCUGAGCCACUGCACUCAGGGUAGUGCCAUGGACAGCAGACAUCUGGCUGGACUGUCAGCAAGAAGGCGCUGGGUGCUCUCUAUCCUGUACACGACAGUGGGGAUGCAGAAUAGACCAAAGGCUGCAGCGGUGGGGUCAGUGGUCUGCUGCUAGAAGAGGAAGAAUGAGGCAGGACUGGAACAUGGCCUUUAGCCUCUGGGGAAUUUAAAGAAGGCAAUCUAGUUUUGCUUGUUCUAGUCAGCAGGAAACUCAGUCCCUAUUGAGGACCCUCUUUCGGAGGACCCGGAGCCUUGACAUGACCACAUCCCAAUCUGCGUAGGCACCCUCAAGGUGACGUGUCACUUCAGAGCCUGACUGAUAGCUCUUGCGGCCAUGCAACACUCGCCAGUUAUCAAAUGUUACUAUGUCUCCUGCAAAGAGAUUGCACAAAGUUUGACAUUUGGUAUGUUAUAUUCCUUCAAACAGAUAAAAUUGAGGUAGAUCUAUAUCAACAGCUAGGGAGCAAUCAUUUCAAAUAAGAGGGCAGGUCCCUCUCCAACUCUGCUGCUUUUCUUGUAUUGGCCAAUCUCGUGGGCAGGCAGAAAAGAAACCAGCUGGGAUAUCUUAGACAACAUGAUUAGACAAGUUUCUUUUUAAGAAGGCUCCUGUUUAAAAAAGAACUUCUGCCAAUAAAAGAAAUUAAAUUUUUCUUCCCAGAUGCUGGGAUGCAUGGGCAAAUAGAAUCUGCCAGAACUGUGCAAGAAAGAUAGAUCAAAGUAAUGUACAACACAUACCUUUCAUUUUAACUUUCUACCUCAUUUAUCCACAUGGUUAUUGUUUGGAAAAAGCUGUACUGAGGUGAUGCAUGUGAUGAAUUGGGAUGGCCCAACAGGUGUGCAAGUGACAUGGUGCUACUGAUAUGACAACUUUCCUACGUGAAAGAGUUGUCAAUGUCAUAAGAAGAUAGACUACAUUGCCCAUCGCAAACUGUGGGUUUUUUUUGCAGUGAAGCAAUGGCAGAAGAAACUAUGAAAUGAAUGUAAGGAUACAGCAGUGAAAUAAAACAGGUGACAUAAGGGCUGAAAUUUCCACUCUGUGCCAGGGUAGAGAUACAGUGCUAGAACGUUUUGACGUGUCAGGAAAAAUGUGAAAAAUCACUGCAAAGAGAAACAACUUACUGACCUGGUUUCAGCUUGUAAGUAAACUUGUGUUCUGUGCUGUUUAAUAAAUCACUGAAUUCCUUUAGAGCUGCAUAAAAUGGCCGCACUUCUUCUGCCGGUAUGUCAAACACAGUGUCUCUUGUUGCAUUAUUGAAAUUGAUGCGAAUUGCUUGGCCUCUGUAAUCCACACUGCAAAACAGAUAACGGAAGGAACAGAAACCUUUUGAUGUGGCUAAUGGAUGACUGAACUCUCCUAUUGAAGUUUCAGUGUUUUUCUACAACUAAAUUCAAUUCUAUGUCAAAGGACAAGUUCGUUUCCUUCAUUCAAGAUCAUUACUGGAUAGGAACUUGAUAAUCAAACCUAACUAGAGAAAGGGGUCAUCAGAAAAAAAUGCAGACAGUUUCCACAAAAAUCAGUAUUCCACACAUGUUAAUCAUAGAGUCAAAGUUUUAAAAUUCAGUAUUAUUAAGGAAAGUUGAAUUUGAUCUUUUUAUAGUGUGUUGUUCUUAGUCUAAAUGCUUCAAAUUAGGACCUCUCUUUGGCGUGGUACAGCUGUGCAGACACACAGCAUGGACUGGAAUUCAAUAACAAGCCCAGCUGCUGUGGCCUCAUGCCUAGAAGUUACCCUAAUGCCCAGUUUUUGCUAGUGCAGGGGAGACCAAAUAAGGAAAACUAUGCUGUAGUGUGACAAAGGAAAGAAAAGUAACAUGCUGGCCAAAAGAAAAAAAAAAAAAAAACACAACGAAGAUGUAGUCCCAGACCCCGUGAAGCCACCAUUUCCCCACAAGGUGGCAGGAGCAGACCUACCAACACAUGAUCCACCAUACAUACAUCAGCAAUUUUAGUUUCCAAUGUAAUUGAGGAUGGAGGCCACUUACUCUAUGAUCCUUUGUUUACCCUGCACAGCAAAGUCACAGUAGUCAACCCCAACGUCUGUGUAGUCUACAGCAGUAGAGGUCAGGAUCUGAUACGCUUGAGGAUUUUGGUGCUUCAGCUUGUUAGCUGCAUGAAAUCCAUCUACAAUUUCACUCUCACCUCCUGUGGCUGUUUGUUUAAUACAGUGGAGAAACUGAACCUGUAAUGAAUUAAGAUCCUAUUUCAAGAAGAAUUAGCUUCUGUGUUUAACAGUCCAUUAGAAUCAGUCUCCUUAUAUCUGUGUCUUUUUUUUUCCAGCAAAACACUGCGUUACAACUCCUGUAGCUUCAUAGCACUCUGCAACCAUUAUCAUAUAGGCAGAAAAUUGAAGUACCAUGUUCAUAAAUGCAUCCCCUUUGAGAUAUCUUCUAACACUUGCAGCCUGUUCUUAUUUCCUGCAAGUCAACUGCAAGUCUCUGCUGUCAGUUCUUUCCCUCGAACUGCUCUUUGCUGCAGUCUCCCUCCUUAUCUCUGCAAAGAGGAUUACUUUGCUCUUGCAUUGAGUUAUCUGUUCACACAGGGGGAAAGGUGGCUUACAGACAGCAACAGGCCUAGUGUCUGUAAUAAAAUAGAACCGAGGAAGUUUAAUUGCACUUCAUAGUGAAAUUGCCAAGGAGUAGCGUGGAACAGGAAGUCUAAAAUCUAAAGUUGUGUAAGUCUGACCUAGCAGAACAGCCUGGGAUGUUGACGAGUCCAGCAUCGUACAAAGCACAUUAAUCUUGGCCAAACUAGACAAUAUACAUCUGUUGUGCCAACACAACUACCCUGAAAAAUGCAAAGCUAACAAUGGCCACGUUUCCCUUCCAUGGUGGUGGAAUUCCUGAGACCAGUGGGAGGAAAAAUAGAAACACUGGGGAGAGAGGAGCAGAGGAUAGUUUGUCACAGUCUCCUGAUGUGCUACACCCAUAUCCCUUGAGGGAAGGCCCAAACAGCUGCUGGUGCAGGAGGGGACUCCAUCAGCAUAAAGCAGAAGGAAACAGCUCUACCAACGACUGGCAGAUAGCCAUUCUUCCUCUAAUCUUCAUUGGCUUGCAAAGGCAACAAAUAGCUUAUGCACACCAUGCAGCAGCUUCCUGCCCUCCUGUCCCG
rnacentral:lncRNA from 1 species